CGCUGCAGCACACACGCGGACGGCCGCCGACUCCGCCUAGAUCCCGACGGGAGGCGGCGAUGGAGGUCCAUGGCAGCCCCCAAGGGUUCACUCAGCUCCUCCUAAGCAUGGGAGUUCCAGGCCUAGAUUGGCCGGGGCUAGAUCGGGAGGACGCAAUCCGGACGGAAGACGAGUGCAGCAGCCCUAGCUGGAGCGCCGAGUAUGGGAGAUCUGGAUUCAGCGGCGGAUUUCACGGAGAUCUCGGUGCUGAAAUCCGUCCAGUUAUCUGGAAACAAGUUCACACGUUAUCGAAGAGGAACAACUGACGCCAGAGUAUUCCCAUGUUUCUGCAUCAGAAUCUCCCGAGUCUACACAUUACACGAAUAAGAGGCAAUAUGAUGUCAUGGUAGAAGACGAGCAUCCGCACGUCCCUGCAGCUGGAUCAUCCGAUUCGCCGACAGAACCUGAUUCAUGGGUGAAGAGGCCGCGAUUCGGGAAGAUACCUGAUUUCAGAACAGCGAAAAAUGGGAGGAAGAGCACUUUGGAAUUGAGAAUGAGAAAAUUUGGAAAUAGGAAUUCAGAUGAGGUUGUUGCUCCUGAACCAGGAAUGGAGUUUGACUCCUUACCAGAAGCUUUCGACUUCUUCAAUCUCUACUCCUUGUCAGGAACCUAAGGGACAAUAAUGUCGGGCUCAGCCAGGUGUACACCGUCAUUGGGAGCUUCUUUGGAUCAAUGGAUAACGUACCAUUCGGACGCAAGAAUAACUAUGAUAUCUGUCGCCCAUACGACGUGUCUACUCGAUUUACCUAAGAGAAAAGUGGCCAUGUGUUUGAAAGUACUUCAGUGUACAUCGUUAUGUACCACAUAUGCAAUUGUAAAGUACCUUAUAUCCUUUAGACAGGCACCGGAUAACGCUCGCAAGAUAUGUCUGCCAGAGUGUUUACUAGUACUUCAAUGGACGUUGUCACGUACCACAUGAGGUAGUUGCCAAGUACCUCAUGUCCUUACGACGAGCACCGGAUAAACUCGCGAGAUAUCUUUUGCCA